rnacentral:rRNA from 1 species
ACAGGGAUUGCCUUAGUAACGGCGAGUGAAGCGGCAACAGCUCAAAUUUGAAAUCUGGCUCUUUCAGAGUCCGAGUUGUAAUUUGCAGAGGGCGCUUUGGCGUUGGCAGCGGUCCAAGUUCCUUGGAACAGGACGUCACAGAGGGUGAGAAUCCCGUACGUGGUCGCUAGCCAUCGCCGUGUAAAGCCCCUUCGACGAGUCGAGUUGUUUGGGAAUGCAGCUCUAAAUGGGAGGUAAAUUUCUUCUAAAGCUAAAUACUGGCCAGAGACCGAUAGCGCACAAGUAGAGUGAUCGAAAGAUGAAAAGCACUUUGGAAAGAGAGUCAAAUAGCACGUGAAAUUGUUGAAAGGGAAGCGCUUGCAGCCAGACUUGCCUGUAGUUGCUCAUCCGGGCUUUUGCCCGGUGCACUCUUCUGCGGGCAGGCCAGCAUCAGUUUGGGCGGUUGGAUAAAGGUCUCUGUCAUGUACCUCUCUUCGGGGAGAACUUAUAGGGGAGACGACAUACAACCAGCCUGGACUGAGGUCCGCGCAUUUGCUAGGAUGCUGGCGUAAUGGCUGUAAGCGGCCCGUCUUGAAACACGGACCAAGGAGUCUAACAUCUAUGCGAGUGUUUGGGUGUCAAGCCCGAGCGCGUAAUGAAAGUGAACGGAGGUGGGACCCCUUUAGGGUGCACCAUCGACCGAUCCUGAUGUCUUCGGAUGGAUUUGAGUAAGAGCAUGGCUGUUGGGACCCGAAAGAUGGUGAACUAUGCUUGAAUAGGGUGAAGCCAGAGGAAACUCUGGUGGAGGCUCGCAGCGGUUCUGACGUGCAAAUCGAUCGUCAAAUUUGGGCAUAGGGGCGAAAGACUAA